CGCCUAUAUCAUUUUGAUUGUUGCUCAGAAAGCCCUGCAUUCAAUACUUGGCUUUCGAGUAAUAAUCGAAACCAAAUAAGCG
rnacentral:pre_miRNA from 11 species